UUUGAGACUUUGCCCACAAACACUUGAGUGUAUAGAUAAGUUAAACAUUUAUUUUAUCCUUAUAAAAUACAUUUUUAACUUAUCUAUACACUCAAGUGUUUGUGGGCAAAGUCUCCAA
rnacentral:miRNA from 1 species